rnacentral:rRNA from 1 species
GACGUAGGGGCGAGCGUUGUUCGGAGUUACUGGGCGUAAAGGGCGCGUAGGCGGCGGACCAAGUUAGGCGUGAAAGCCCGGGCUCAACCUGGGAAUUGCGCUUAAGACUGGUCUGCUCGAGUGCGGGAGAGGUGAGUGGAAUUCCCAGUGUAGAGGUGAAAUUCGUAGAUAUUGGGAAGAACACCAGGUGGCGAAGGGCGGCUCACUGGCCCGCAACUGACGCUGAGGCGCGAAAGCGGUGGGAGCAACAGGG